UGCUAGCUAGCUAGCUCUCUGCCAUUAUGAUUCAUGAUCCAUCAUCUGGAGUUGUCAUAACUUGUAACACAUCUGUUCUCUAAAAUCCUAUGUAUUUAUACAUUCCACAUGACAAGUGAACUCAAAUUCAUAAAAUAAUAGUAUCCCUGAUUUCCUGAGAACUUGGGCCUAAGGUAGCAAUUGGUUUUAGACUUAAUGUGCUUCUAGCUCAUGCAAAUGAUUCCAAAUUGCCAUAUGAAGAUGGAUGCCUUUUCCAACUUGGGUACACUUUGAUAGCAGAGGUGACUAGGGCAUCUUUUUCAAGUUCAGGCAGAAAAAUACCUGCAAAGGCCCAGACACCUAGGCCAAAUAACUUUGGUUGGCCUGAUAAAGUUGUUUCUCUUGUGGGCUUCCAGGCUCAGUGGGUGUGGUGGCUGUAUCCAGUGAGCUCAGCUCUGGCUGUUUUUUCAUGUAGAACAGUGUAAUCUAGUCUCUUGGACUGGGCUGGAUCUUUGCUUUUAAUUACAAUGGCGUACUGAGAAUGGACUGGGUUCUUACUUUUGUUCUUUACUUAGGUUAACUCAAA
rnacentral:lncRNA from 1 species